rnacentral:rRNA from 1 species
AGAGUUUGAUCCUGGCUCAGGAUAAACGCUGGCGGCGUGCCUAACACAUGCAAGUCGAACGCCCUUCAUUUCGGUGGAGGGAGUGGCGGACGGGUGAGUAACACAUGGGUACCUGCCUUCCAGUGAGGAAUACCGGCGAGAAAUCGCCGACAAGACCGCAUACGCUUCGCAAGAAGCAAAGCUCGCAAGGGCGCUGGAAG